rnacentral:misc_RNA from 1 species
GAUGAAGAACGCAGCGAAAUGCGAUACGUAAUGUGAAUUGCAGAAUUCAGUGAAUCAUCGAGUCUUUGAACGCACAUUGCGCCCCCUGGUAUUCCGGGGGGCAUGCCUGUCCGAGCGUCAUUGCUGCCCUCAAGCACGGCUUGUGUGUUGGGCCUCCGUCCUCCUCCCGGGGGACGGGCCCGAAAGGCAGCGGCGGCACCGCGUCCGGUCCUCGAGCGUAUGGGGCUUCGUCACCCGCUCUUGUAGGCCCGGCGGGCGCUUGCCGACACAUCAAUCUUUUUUCCAGGUUGACCUCGGAUCAGGUAGGGAUACCCGCUGAACUUAAGCAUAUCAAUAAGCGGAGGA